UAGUUUUCGAGCCGCUUACGUGUCGUCCUGAUUUUUGGCCGGCGUAGCUCCGUCUACAUUCGCCUUAAUGGUUUUAAUUUUGACUGACAUAAUUUUAUGAUUAUGCGUCUUUAAUGUUUUAAUUUUUACUCUGUGACAUGGCCAGUGUUUGGCUCACAAAAUAAUUUAAUUUUUUAUUAAUUCCAAGUUCACACUGGGGAAGGAUGGAGAAAGAGAGUGCUACCUCGUUCAGCAACUGAAAUAUUGCUAACCAAGGGUCAAAUUGUUUAGCCAUGCUGCAACAGAAGUUGAGGUUCGCCUUCUUUACAGCGUGAUACUGAAUCAUCUCAGACUCAUGGAUCUCGAGGACAGCGCGGCCACCGCAGCCACCAGAAGGUGUCAUCACAACACCGCGGGAUCCCCCAAUGGAGUCUGAGCCUCUGCCUCCUCUCGAUCUACCAGUGGAGCUAGACCUGACGACGCCAUUGCAGCUGGCACCUUCUACAUCUGGUUAUGGUCCUCAGGAGGUGGACGCGUACCCUGCUGGUCAUUUUCCGGGGGACUCUUCUGACAGAGCAAAGGCCAGAUGGCAGCCACAGAUUCCGGUCCAGCACAGCAUCCACACUACUGCUCUCCUGCCAUUGUCGAGCUAUGAAUACAAUGAUGGUCCAUCGCUUUGAGGGGUGGAAUGUUCCGGCGUAACGUCAAGCAUCAGCAUGUUGGUCAAAACCGUUAGAGCAGAGAGGGCUGUGGAGAAGACGUCAGCCAAUAGUACGCUGACCGAACCCUGUCUAGGAUGACAACAAAACAGCAGCGCCAACUACACAAAGAGGACAUAAGUGCCACGCCGCCUGGCCGCGGCUCAGUUGAAAACUAGCCAUUCUACAUGCUCUAUAGCAGCAACCUAGGAACUGUAUUUCUUCUCUUGUGUUACAAAUUGUAUAUACUGAAGACAUUGCUUGUGUUUCAUGUCAUCCUUUGCUUGCAACAUCUCACUGUAAAUUUCUCAAAGUUAAGUAUUGUUAUUUAUCUUACUGUAAUAAAAAUUCAUUAAUACAGUUUGCUUGAAUUGUUGUCUAGGGAUCCAACAAAGCAAGUUUCCAAGGCACCCCAUAGUUGACGAGUGGCUGAUAACUCCUGAUGCAGCAGAUGAGAUGUGGCAUGCUGAUGUUGUGCGACAAUACAACACGUGGUCAAGAAUGUUAGAGCAGAGAGGGCUGUGGAGAAGACGUCAGCCAAUAGUAUGCU